UACAGAGGUCUCAAGCGUUGUUCGGAUUCAUUGGGCGUAAAGGGUGCGUAGGCGGCGCGGUAAGUCGGGUGUGAAAUCUCGGAGCUCAACUCGGAAAUGGCAUUGGAAACUACCUUGCUCGAGGGUUGGAGGGGGGACUGGAAUGCUUGGUGUAGCAGUGAAAUGCGUAGAUAUCAAGCGGAACACCAGUGGCGAAGGCGAGUCCCUGGACAACUCCUGACACUGAGGCACGAAAGCUAGGGGAGCAAACAGG
rnacentral:rRNA from 1 species